GUCUAUGGUUAUACUACCCUGAAUGUGCCUAAUCUCAUCCAAUCUCAGAAGCUCACCAGGGUCACACUCAUUAGUACUUGGAUGGGAGUGCAAGAUUUGGCUAUUAUAAACU
rnacentral:rRNA from 1 species